rnacentral:rRNA from 1 species
CGGGGGGGGCGGCUACACAUGCAGUCGAGCGGCAGCGGAAAGUAGCUUGCUACUUUGCCGGCGAGCGGCGGACGGGUGAGUAAUGUCUGGGAAACUGCCUGAUGGAGGGGGAUAACUACUGGAAACGGUAGCUAAUACCGCAUAACGUCGCAAGACCAAAGAGGGGGACCUUCGGGCCUCUUGCCAUCAGAUGUGCCCAGAUGGGAUUAGCUAGUAGGUGGGGUAACGGCUCACCUAGGCGACGAUCCCUAGCUGGUCUGAGAGGAUGACCAGCCACACUGGAACUGAGACACGGUCCAGACUCCUACGGGAGGCAGCAGUGGGGAAUAUUGCACAAUGGGCGCAAGCCUGAUGCAGCCAUGCCGCGUGUAUGAAGAAGGCCUUCGGGUUGUAAAGUACUUUCAGCGGGGAGGAAGGCGUUGAGGUUAAUAACCUCAGCGAUUGACGUUACCCGCAGAAGAAGCACCGGCUAACUCCGUGCCAGCAGCCGCGGUAAUACGGAGGGUGCAAGCGUUAAUCGGAAUUACUGGGCGUAAAGCGCACGCAGGCGGUCUGUCAAGUCGGAUGUGAAAUCCCCGGGCUCAACCUGGGAACUGCAUUCGAAACUGGCAGGCUAGAGUCUUGUAGAGGGGGGUAGAAUUCCAGGUGUAGCGGUGAAAUGCGUAGAGAUCUGGAGGAAUACCGGUGGCGAAGGCGGCCCCCUGGACAAAGACUGACGCUCAGGUGCGAAAGCGUGGGGAGCAAACAGGAUUAGAUACCCUGGUAGUCCACGCCGUAAACGAUGUCGACUUGGAGGUUGUGCCCUUGAGGCGUGGCUUCCGGAGCUAACGCGUUAAGUCGACCGCCUGGGGAGUACGGCCGCAAGGUUAAAACUCAAAUGAAUUGACGGGGGCCCGCACAAGCGGUGGAGCAUGUGGUUUAAUUCGAUGCAACGCGAAGAACCUUACCUACUCUUGACAUCCAGAGAACUUAGCAGAGAUGCUUUGGUGCCUUUCGGAACUCUGAGACAGGUGCUGCAUGGCUGUCGUCAGCUCGUGUUGUGAAAUGUUGGGUUUAGUCCCGCAACGAGCGCACCUUAUCCUUUGUGCCAGCGUAGGCCGGAACUCAAAGGAGACUGCCAGUGAUAACUGGAGAAGGGUGGGAUGACGUCAAGGUCCAUCAUGCCCCUACGGAUAGCUACACACGUGCUAACAUUGCCGCCGAUAUCAAGAAGAGAUGCCGUAUC